UUUUAUGUUGUUGUAUUUAAGAAUGAACCUACUCGAGUCUCGGGUGCUAAAGUGGUUGUCUCUUGGAAUCUCAGAAAAAUCAAAUUUGGGUUAAAACACUUGACUUGUGCAGAAUAAAGGGCAAGAUUACUUUCAAAUCAAUAUAUUGAGAAGUCCAUUCUCUUAUUCUGAGGAUUCUACUUGAUUACAGUUCAAGGUGAGUUUGAAUAUUGUUUAUAAGGCUUUUUAAUUUAAAUGAUGAAUAAAUUCAUAGACCUGUCCUGAAAUAAGACAAACUUGUUGACUUAAUUCUCACCUGAC
rnacentral:lncRNA from 1 species